AUGUGAAAUUCUCGUUUUGUUAUUUCAUUUUAUCUUUUGGUGUGAUAUAUGAAGCCACAACACGUGAAACGAGGAAAUUUGUACAUGCUGAAAUAAGUACACGCCAGUGAAUGGAAGAAUACUACAAUGUUAUGUUCUUUCUAUCGUUUCUUUGGAACAGGAUUGUACAUUUUUUAGUUAUUUUUGUACCUUAUGAGGUUUUUUGUUUUACUUUACUUGUGGAAUUUCACUAGUGUGUUGUUGUGGAAGAAAACAUCUCCCAUUGUGUUCCUCUA